UUGUAGCCAAUGCCACAUUGGAUUGUAGUAUGGUUGCCAGUACAAAGCACAAAAGAAGAAAGUGGAUAAAUCAAGCAUUUGUUUUGCACUCAAACAUAACACCAACAGUUGAAAGGUCAGUCUGACCGAAUAUCCUCUUAAGUUAGAUGUUAUGAUUCCAGCAUUUUAUUAGUUAAUAAAAGAAAAUUGAGAAAUCCUUACAUGCAAAGAAG